rnacentral:sRNA from 1 species
GUAGCCAAGGCUAGUCUUGAAUUCGUGAGCUCAAGUGAAUCACCGGCCUUGGCCUCUCAAGUCUAGGAUUACAGAAGAGGAAACUGAGGUUCACAAUCGGGCAGUGAAAAGCCAAAAGUAAAACCUAGGCUUUCUACAACUCUGCCUGCUCCAACAAAAGGUGAGACAACCCUUCUGUGUGUCCUUGUCCAGCUCGGCAUGGGGUUCAGGGCUCAGAGCCCAGGCUGGGCCCUGCUCCUCCCUGACCCCUGGGGAUCCUAAGGAACAUGCUGGCCCAGCUCCCCUUCCCAACUGCCAGUUUGGGCUAUUUCCCCCCCAGUGACUCACACUGGCUGCCGGGGAGAGUGGGCAGCUGUUCUGAGCCCCCAGAGCCCAGUACAGGCCCUGACUUGCCCCCCAAGUUCUGCAGCCAUAUUUGGGAAUUUAAUCUGUUUUUCCUCCUUGGGGACUCUCCUUCCCUUAAUCCCUUCCUUUUUUCCCUGUCUUCAACCAUUUUUCCUUAUCUUCAGCCUCACCCUCCCUGAUGGCUUCUUCCCAUAGGCAGACAAACAGGCUCUAGUCUUUCAUAUCUUUGAAAAAAAGAAAGCCCUCCCUCAACUCCACAUCCUUCGCCAGCUCCCCUCUGCAGCCAACAUUCUUGAAGGAGUUGUAUACACACGUUGUUUCUACUUCCUCACUCAGCCCCUGCAAUCUGGCUUCCUCCCCCACCAUUCCACA